CUGCGGRGAUGAUCACCCUGAACUCUCUCUUGCUGAUGGGACAGUGAAGUUUUAUAUCUCAUUCUGAGUAGC
rnacentral:snoRNA from 1 species